GGAGAUGUAGCUCAAUGGUUGAGUGUCUGUUUCUCAUGUAUGAGGUCCCGGGUUCAAUCCCCGGCACCUCCU
rnacentral:tRNA from 1 species